rnacentral:rRNA from 1 species
AGUGAACGCUGGCGGUAUGCCUAACACAUGCAAGUCGAACGGCAGCACAGUAAGAUCUCGCCCUUACGGUUAGCGAGUGGCGGGCGGGUGAGGCGUACAUCGCCAUCUACUUUUUCGUGGGGGAUAACGGAGGGCAACUGACGCUACUACCGCAUACUACCUACGGCUGAAUUCAGAGGAGCUUCGCACCUUUCGCGACUGAAUGAGCCGAUGUCGGAUUAGCUAGUUGGCUGGGUAAAGGCCCACCAAGGCAACGAUCCGUAGCUGGCCUGAGAGGAUGAUCAGCCACACUGGAACUGAGACACGGUCCAGACUCCUACGGGAGGCAGCAGUGGGGAAUAUUGCGCAAUGGGCGCAAGCCUGACCCAGCCAUACCGCGUGAGUGAAGAAGGCCUUCGGAUCGUAAAGCCCUUUUGUUGGGAAAGAACAGAAGCAGGUUAAUACGCCGCUGUCCUGACGGUACCCAAAGAAUAAGCACCGGCUAACUUCGUG